AGAUUGUGCCAUAGAAUUCUCACAUAAUUAAACUUAACUUCCAAGUUGAGGAAAAAGGACAUAACAAAGAGGAACCAGCAAGAGGGAACACAAGAAUACUAUUAAGAAGCAUUUCUUCAUCCACAGUAGUGUGGCUGGACAAAAGUGAUAUACCACUUCCAGUGGAAUCCAUGCAGCAUAAACAGUGUAUUCAGCCAAGUCUCAGACUGCAUUUCAGAUCCAAACCUGGAGGGAUGAAGUCUGCUGUUCUCUGCACCUUAACCAGUUGGGGGCUCUUUUGUUAAUUACCUUCUACAGAAGAAAGAAUGCUCACUGAUGAGAACUGAGUGAUUCACUACUCUAGUAAUAUAAUGAUAAGCAACUAUUAGUAGGUCCAAUACAAUGCCAUUUAGC
rnacentral:lncRNA from 1 species